AUGGCGCCCUCCUCCGCCCUUCCCCCGGGUUGCAGGUUCGACCCACACGAUGCCGACCUCAUCUCCGCCUACCUCCGCCCCAUGAUCGCGGGCGAGCGCCUCCCUGAACCAGCCGCCAGCUUCCUGCACUCGGCCGACGUCUACGCCGCCGAUCCGGCCACGCUCGUCGCCGGACACCUGCCCGCGGUCCUGGUGUCGCCCAGGACCGGCGACGAGAGGCGCUACUGGUACUUCUUCGGCUCCGCCAAGGCCAGGUCCGGGCGCGACAGGCGCAGGUCCCGAGUCGUCGGCGACGGCAAGGGCCAGUGGCACUCCGAGAAGGGCAGGAAGGUUGUUUCCGACGAGCAGGGACGAAACAUCGGAGGAUACAAGCAGGAGUUCACCUAUAAGCCCACCAACGCCGACGGAUCUGGAACGGAGGUCUGGCUCAUGGUUGAGUUCGGUGUGGAUCAAGACGAUGAUGAGACCGGCAAAUCCAUCCCCACUCUUUGCAAGAUCUAUCGAAGCCCGCGUAAGCCCAGAUCAUCUACCCCGAUUUCGUCCACAUCAUCAACACGGAUGAGGAAGAGGAAGGCUGGAGAUACGCCAUUGCCAGCACCAUCUCCUGUGAGGCGGCGACUGCUUGUUUCCCCUGCGGCACCAAUUUUGCCGCCGCCCGUACAGACACAGCCAGACUUGAGCAACGACUUGGAUGGCGUCUCCUGGGACGAGCUUCUUCAAGAUCUCAUGUCCGGCCUCACACCCGACCAUGUCCUGGGCGACAUGUUGACGCCUGUCCCUGAAUCAAAUGCCAAUUGCAGCUUCUACAUGGCCGACCACGCCGGUUCUGCAGUGAGCAGCAGCUACUGCGACACUGUCCUGGACGAAGGUGGUGCACGCAUGCCUUUUCCUCACAAUUCUGAUCAAGUCCUUCUGGGUGACCUGUUCAUGCCUGUCCCUGAAUCAGAGAUCAAUUACAGCUUCUCCAUGUCCGACCAUACCGGUUCCACGGUGAGCGUGAGCACCUAUCCCUAUGACAACAUGGUCCUCCAUGGUGCUUCAGUCACGCCCUUCUCUGAGAUUUCUGAUCAAGCCGACUUCUUCAUGCCAGUCUUCGAACCACAACAACCCGUUAUUGAGUCGCAGGGCCAUAGUACAAUGCUAAAUUGCAGCUUCCUGCCGUGUGCCCCAAAUGCUGGCAUUUCUGGUUCUUGGACAGGAGGCGACACCACGGACGAUGAAGUGGCCUCGAUCAAUUGGUAUGGUUCUGCUCCAAGCUCACCGGUGACUCCAACCGAGUGGAUGAUGCAAUCAGCAUUUGCCAGCACAUAUCAGUUCUGA
rnacentral:rRNA from 1 species